rnacentral:rRNA from 1 species
CCUACGGGAGGCAGCAGUGAGGAAUAUUGGUCAAUGGUCGGGAGACUGAACCAGCCAAGCCGCGUGAGGGAUGAAGGUACAGAGUAUCGUAAACCUCUUUUGUCAGGGAACAAAGGCGGGGACGUGUCCCCGGAUGAGUGUACCUGAAGAAAAAGCAUCGGCUAACUCCGUGCCAGCAGCCGCGGUAAUACGGAGGAUGCGAGCGUUAUCCGGAUUUAUUGGGUUUAAAGGGUGCGCAGGCGGUCUGUUAAGUCAGCGGUCAAAGCCCGGGGCUCAACCCCGGCCCGCCGUUGAAACUGGCAGUCUCGAGUUGGAGAGAAGUAUGCGGAAUGCGCGGUGUAGCGGUGAAAGGCAUAGAUAUCGCGCAGAACUCCGAUUGCGAAGGCAGCAUGCCGGCUCCACACUGACGCUGAGGCACGAAAGCGUGGGUAUCGAACAGGAUUAGAUACCCUAGUAGAC